UACGUAGGGUGCGAGCGUUAAUCGGAAUUACUGGGCGUAAAGCGUGCGUAGGUGGUUUUUUAAGUCCGUUGUGAAAGCCCUGGGCUCAACCUGGGAAUGGCAGUGGAUACUGGAAAGCUAGAGUGCGGUAGAGGGUAGUGGAAUUCCCGGUGUAGCAGUGAAAUGCGUAGAGAUCGGGAGGAACACCAGUGGCGAAGGCGGCUACCUGGACCAGCACUGACACUGAGGCACGAAAGCGUGGGGAGCAAACAGG
rnacentral:rRNA from 1 species